AUUCACGAAUGCGCAGAACAUGUUUUUUGCCGGACUGCGACGACCUACCCCUACAGUGCAACCACAAACGUGAAGAUGUCUUUGUAACGUGGUGCAGCCAUUUUCGCCCGUCAGCGCCCAAAUUGAUUGCUGCAUCCAUUUCAUUCAUGGCUCCUCUGCCUCCCUUGAGGAUUCAGCUCCGGCAGAGAGAGAUCAAGAGAGCAGGCAAAAUGACCAGUCAUCGAAACCUUCCUGGAAAACAGAUCUUUCCAAUCUAAUCACUAUUUUGAAGAAGAUAUAAAGUUGAUCAUUGAUAUCUAUCAAUAUACCUCUUGUAUGAAUACUGUUUUUUAAUUUACUGAUCAAGGGAUAAAAUAUAUUUCAGAUGACAUUUGAUGUAGUCUGUCAUUUUUCAAUGAGUAUAAGAGGAUAGUUACUCUAAUAUCAUACUGAUGUUACUCGGACAUGAUGUCCGUGUAACGUUGGUAACUGGAGGUGUUGAGGUGAAUAUAGACCAUAAAUCUUGCAGGUUUCCUUUCAAUUGUGUUAUCAUCUCAUUAAAUAUGUUUCAUGCAUCAAUUAAUUGGCACAUUUCAUGGAAUGUAGCCAAGAUUUUCUAUGCAAGAGAAAAGAUUACCCUUUAGAAAAAAA